AUUGAACGCUGGCGGCAGGCCUAACACAUGCAAGUCGAGCGGAUGAAGGGAGCUUGCUCCUGGAUUCAGCGGCGGACGGGUGAGUAAUGCCUAGGAAUCUGCCUGGUAGUGGGGGAUAACGUCCGGAAACGGGCGCUAAUACCGCAUACGUCCUGAGGGAGAAAGUGGGGGAUCUUCGGACCUCACGCUAUCAGAUGAGCCUAGGUCGGAUUAGCUAGUUGGUGGGGUAAAGGCCUACCAAGGCGACGAUCCGUAACUGGUCUGAGAGGAUGAUCAGUCACACUGGAACUGAGACACGGUCCAGACUCCUACGGGAGGCAGCAGUGGGGAAUAUUGGACAAUGGGCGAAAGCCUGAUCCAGCCAUGCCGCGUGUGUGAAGAAGGUCUUCGGGUUGUAAAGCACUUUAAGUUGGGAGGAGGGGCAGUAAGUUAAUACCUUGCUGUUUUGACGGUACCAACAGAAUAAGCACCGGCUAACUUCGUG
rnacentral:rRNA from 1 species